GAGAGAUAACACAAGAACUGCUAAUUCCUGCACCUAAAACUAAAUCUUUUAGAUCUCUCA
rnacentral:tRNA from 1 species